rnacentral:rRNA from 1 species
UACAGAGGUCUCAAGCGUUGUUCGGAUUCAUUGGGCGUAAAGGGCGCGUAGGCUGCGGGGCAAGUCGGGUGUGAAAUCUCAGAGCUCAACUCUGAAACUGCACUCGAUACUGCUUUGCUCGAGGACUGGAGAGGAGAUUGGAAUUCACGGUGUAGCAGUGAAAUGCGUAGAUAUCGUGAGGAAGACCAGUGGCGAAGGCGGCAUCCUGGGCCAACACUGGCGCUGAGUGAGCGAAAGCCAGGGGAGCAAACGGG